rnacentral:rRNA from 1 species
CGCAUCUGUGCAUGCAGCAUAUCAAUAAGCGGAGGAAAAGAAACUAACAAGGAUUCCCCUAGUAACGGCGAGUGAAGCGGGAAGAGCUCAAAUUUGAAAUCUUAAAGGGUUUCCCUUUACGAAUUGUAGUUUAAAGAAGUGUUUUCUGUUGAGGUUUUGGUAAAAGUUCUUUGGAAUAGGACAUCAUAGAGGGUGAGAAUCCCGUAUUUGACCUUUACUUUCAACUUUGUGAUACACUUUCAAAGAGUCGGAUUGUUUGGGAAUGCAGUCCAAAAUGGGUGGUAAAUUUCAUCUAAAGCUAAAUAUUGGCGAGAGGCCGAUAGCGAACAAGUACCGUGAGGGAAAGAUGAAAAGAACUUUGAAAAGAGAGUUAAACAGUACGUGAAAUUGUCAAAAGGGAAGCGUUUGACACCAGUGUUGUUUUUCUGAAAAUCAAUUAAAGAACUGUUUAUGCUAAGCUGUUUAGACUUUAUCAGCUAUCUGCUUAGUUUUGAGCUUUUCUUUAAUGCACUUUUCAGUUAACAAGUCAACAUCAAUUUCUUUUGCUGUAAAAGAGCUUGAGGAAGGUGGCUUGAGAUUCGUCUUAAGUGUUUAUAGCCUCUUGCCUAUGCAGUCGGAGAGAUUGAGGUCUGCAGCGUAGAUCCUUCGGGGCUAAAUGCAUUUGUGCUAAGUUAUAGCAUUUUAUAGACAACUUGUUGACUAUGAUUUGUCUUGUAGCUUACUCGCUUAUGUUAUUUUACCUACGCUUAGGAUGUUGAGCGCAUGUCUCUCUCU